AUGUAGGUAUCUGCCCUUUGGCCUGGAAUAACACGAGGAAACUUGUGCUAAUACCGGAUAAGUCUUUACGGAGAAAGCUUUAUGCACCAUUGGAGGAGCCUGCACUAGAUUAGUUUGUUGGUGGGGUAAUGGCCUACCAAGACUGUGAUCUAUAGCUGAUUUGAGAGGAUGAUCAGCCACAUUGGGACUGAGACACGGCCCAAACUCCUACGGGAGGCAGCAGUGGGGAAUCUUGCACAAUGGAGGAAACUCUGAUGCAGCGAUGCCGCGUGAGUGAAGAAGGCCUUUGGGUUGUAAAGCUCUUUCGUCGGGGAAGAAAAUGACUGUACCC
rnacentral:rRNA from 1 species